rnacentral:lncRNA from 1 species
CUAUCCUUCAUUCCUCUCCUUUUGGAGCAGUGGGAAGUGCAAUGCAUCAGGGUUCAAGAAUGGGCUUCUUGUGAGCCUCUCACAUGCAGGCAUGGAGGAGAUGACAGCAGAGUUGACAGCCUGGUGCUCCUGAGCCUGGGAUCCAGUUUGGGAGACAGACUGGUGAGUCCUCUUGGCAUCUCUGAUGGUGCGGUCCAAUUCAGAAAAGGUUAUCGUUGUGCAGGAAGUAGAAAUCACAGGAUAUCUGUGGCUUUGCUGACAGUGAAUGGAACUUAAAGUUUAGCAAUUAAUAAAGCAUUUUGAAAUCCAGAAAUUAAGGUUUAAACCAUGCAGCAGAUGACUG